UUCGGUCCACAUUUGCCUCCCUACUAAUUAACUCAUUCUAAAGUUUUGGACCACUGCCACCACUGCACCGCCGUGUGUGGGUUGCGCCACCUUGACCCUCUGUUUUACGGGCUUUUUGCCCUCUGCUUCCCAUCACGUGAAUCCCGCUUGGCAACUUAACUUUGUUGGAACUAGUUCUGUUUAGCAUAAAACCAAAAAAGUGAGACAAAAACCUUGAUUUAAAAAAAAAAAAACAGACACAGUACAUCAAUCAAAAAUUGUGGAAAUCAAGUAGUGAAUUGUGUUUUAUAAUUCAGCACCAAAACAUAACACAAACAAAAUGGUGCAUAGGGAAUAUGUGUUUUGUUUAAACAUGACAAACUUAUCUUUUUGGGAAAACACCAUUUUUGCUGUGGGUUGCAUUCUCCACAAUGUUUUUCUUCCUCUCUCUCUUCCAUAUUCC
rnacentral:lncRNA from 1 species